GUAACACGUUUUAAACCUGCCCUGGAGACAUGGACAACCCCGGGAAACUGGUAUUAAUCCGUGAUAGGUCAUCUCAUCUGGAAGGAGAGAUGGCUUAAAGGGGUACGCGGGCUUCUUCUGCGUAUUCGCUCCAGGAUGGGACUGCGUCCGAUCAGGCUGUUGGCGGGGUAAUGGCCCACCAAACCUGUAACCGGUACGGGCCUUGAGAGAGGUGGCCCGGAGAUGGACACUGAGAGAAGGGUCCAGGUCCUACGGGGCGCAGCAGGCGCGAAACCUUCGCAAUGCGCGAAAGCGUGACGAGGUUAAUCCGAGUGGCCCCCGCUGAGGGGGUCUUUUGUCAGCUGUAAAUAGGCGGGCGAAUAAGGGGAGGGCAAGCCUGGUGUCAGCCGCCGCGGUAAUACCAGCUCCUCGAGUGGUCGGGGCGAUUAUUGGGCCUAAAGCAUCCGUAGCCGGUUCCGUAGGUCCUCUGUUAAAUCCACCCGCUUAACGGGUGACCUGCAGAGGAUACCGCGGGACU
rnacentral:rRNA from 1 species